UCCUGGUUUCCCAGGCAGUCCUGCUAGAGUGCUUCUUGCGAAUCGCUACUAACAGCAGGGGUUGCGCUCGUUAAAGGACUUAACCCAACAUCUCACGACACGAGCUGACGACAGCCAUGCAGCACCUGUAUAACCGUUUCGGUUUCCCAAAAACCCGACGUUUCUGCCAGUAGCAGUUAUAUGUCAAGCCCAGGUAAGGUUCCUCGCGUAGUGUCGAAUUAAACCACAUGUUCCACCGCUUGUGCGGACCCCCGUCAAUUCCUUUGAGUUUUAGUCUUGCGACCGUACUUCCCAGGCGGAUCACUUAACGCGUUAGCUUCGAUACAGAUCAUGCUAUGCACGACCCACACCUAGUGAUCAUCGUUUACGGCGUGGACUAC
rnacentral:misc_RNA from 1 species